rnacentral:tRNA from 1 species
GGUCGCUUAGCUCAGCUGGUUAGAGCGUCACAUUGACAUUGUGAAGGUCACUGGUCCGAGUCCAGUAGCGACCA